rnacentral:rRNA from 1 species
UACGUAGGGGGCGAGCGUUGUCCGGAAUUAUUGGGCGUAAAGAGCUCGUAGGCGGUUUGUCGCGUCUGCUGUGAAAACUCGGGGCUUAACCCCGGGCCUGCAGUGGGUACGGGCAGACUAGAGUGCGGUAGGGGAGACUGGAAUUCCUGGUGUAGCGGUGAAAUGCGCAGAUAUCAGGAGGAACACCGGUGGCGAAGGCGGGUCUCUGGGCCGUAACUGACGCUGAGGAGCGAAAGCGUGGGGAGCGAACAGG